CCUACGGGGGACAGCAGUGGGGAAUAUUGGGCAAUGGGCGCAAGCCUGACCCAGCAACGCCGCGUGAAGGAAGAAGGCUUUCGGGUUGUAAACUUCUUUUAUCAGGGACGAAGCAAGUGACGGUACCUGAUGAAUAAGCCACGGCUAACUACGUGCCAGCAGCCGCGGUAAUACGUAGGUGGCAAGCGUUAUCCGGAUUUAUUGGGUGUAAAGGGCGUGUAGGCGGGAGAGCAAGUCAGAUGUGAAAUCUCAGGGCUCAACCCUGAGCCUGCGUUUGAAACUGUGUUUCUUGAGUGAUGGAGAGGCAAUCGGAAUUCCGGGUGUAGCGGUGAAAUGCGUAGAUAUACGGAGGAACACCAGUGGCGAAGGCGGACUGCUGGACAGUAACUGACGCUGAGGCGCGAAAGCGUGGGGAGCAAACAGGAUUAGAUACCCUAGUAGUC
rnacentral:rRNA from 1 species